rnacentral:ncRNA from 1 species
GGUAGUAGCAAAUAUUCAAAUGAGAACUUUGUAGGUAGAAGAGGGGAAAUGUUCCAUGUGAACGGCACUUGCACAUGGCUUAGUUGAUCCUAAGAGACGGGGGAAGCCCGUUAGACAGUGCGAUUAGCAUGGGCUUCGAAAGGGAAUCGGGUUAAAAUUCUCGAACUAGGACACGGUGGUUGACGGUAGGGGUGGGUUUGAGUCGAGCCAAGCCGAAUACUUGGCUAUUUGAGUUCGACUUGUAGGAAUAGUAUCAAGCUCGAGCUUGAUUCGAGCUAGAGACUCGAGCUCGAGCUUUGCU